UACGUAGGGUGCGAGCGUUGUCCGGAAUUAUUGGGCGUAAAGGGCUCGUAGGCGGUUUGUCGCGUCGGGAGUGAAAAUCCAGGGCUUAACUCUGGACUGGCUUCCGAUACGGGCAGACUAGAGGUAUGCAGGGGAGAACGGAAUUCCUGGUGUAGCGGUGAAAUGCGCAGAUAUCAGGAGGAACACCGGUGGCGAAGGCGGUUCUCUGGGCAUUACCUGACGCUGAGGAGCGAAAGUGCGGGGAGCGAUCCGG
rnacentral:rRNA from 1 species